rnacentral:misc_RNA from 1 species
AACAAGGCGUACCUGCGGACCUGCGGAGGGAUCAUUAACCUUUCAAAUCAGGGUGCGGCGCGGCCCCCGAGGAGCGGAAACAAUCCUUGGGAGGUAUGCGGGGGCUUCGAGCCCCCCAUUUACGCACGCACGACUGCCAUCCUUACUUUACGAGCACCUUCUGUUCUCCCUCGGCGGGGCAACCUGCCGUUGGAACCGAAUAAACUCUUUUUGCAUCUAGCAUUACCUGUUCCGAAACAA